GGCACCUGAGCCCCAAAUGCAAGAGGAAAGCUGACCCCAGCCCCGAGUUACGUAACGACAUCUUUGGAAUUUGGCUGCUUUUGAAAUGAGAUGGGAAAACUACACCCAAACAAGCAGCUGCAGCCUCCACUCUGCAGGUUUCAGAAGGUCACGCUCUUGACAGGAAACGCGACUGCUUUUGGAGGGCAGAGGCGACUGAGUUGGGGCUGGGAGGUGAGACGGUGGGGAGAAAGGACUAUGCACGUGUCCCCAGGGGGAGACCAUGUCCCACCAUCCCAAGGCCCCCCUGAACAAGCAGCUUUGUGGACCCCCAGAGCAUUGCGCACUCCCUCCAUUCCUUCCUGCCUUUGUUCAUUCACACAGUAGAUUUUUUUAAAUAAAAAUUGUAUAUAUUUGGGCUUCCCUGGUGGCACAGUGGUUGGGAAUC